rnacentral:rRNA from 1 species
CCUACGGGAGGCAGCAGUGGGGGAUAUUGCACAAUGGGGGGAACCCUGAUGCAGCGACGCCGCGUGGGUGAAGAAGCGCCUCGGCGCGUAAAGCCCUGUCAGCAGGGAAGAAAAUGACGGUACCUGAAGAAGAAGCCCCGGCUAACUACGGGCCAGCAGCCGCGGUAAUACGUAGGGGGCAAGCGUUCUCCGGAUUUACUGGGUGUAAAGGGGGCGCAGACGGCGCUGCAAGCCAGGAGUGAACGCCCGGGGCCCAACCCCGGGACUGCUCUUGGAACGGCGUGGCUGGAGUGCAGGAGGGGCAGGCGGCAUUCCUGGUGUAGCGGUGAACUGCGUAGAUAUCAGGAGG